UCCCUUUUAGUUCAGCUGGUAGAGUGUAUCACUAGGAUGCAUUGGUUUAGAUGUUUAUGACGAGGUCAGUCGUUCAAGUCGGCUAGAGGGAA
rnacentral:tRNA from 1 species